GACGAACGCUGGCGGCGUGCUUAACACAUGCAAGUCGAACGGAAAGGCCCUGCUUUUGUGGGGUGCUCGAGUGGCGAACGGGUGAGUAACAAGUGAGUAACCUGCCCUUGACUUUGGGAUAACUUCAGGAAACUGGGGCUAAUACCGGAUAGGAGCUCCUGCUGCAUGGUGGGGGUUGGAAAGUUUCGGCGGUUGGGGAUGGACUCGCGGCUUAUCAGCUUGUUGGUGGGGUAGUGGCUUACCAAGGCUUUGACGGGUAGCCGGCCUGAGAGGGUGACCGGCCACAUUGGGACUGAGAUACGGCCCAGACUCCUACGUGGGGCAGCAGUGGGGAGUAUUGCACAAUGGGCGGAAGCCUGAUGCGGCAACGCCGCGUGCGGAAUGACGGCCUUCGGGUUAUAAACCGCUUUCACCUGUGACGAAGCGUGAGUGACGGUAAUGGGUAAAGAAGCACCGGCUAACUACGUG
rnacentral:rRNA from 1 species